AUGGGUGGCUGGUGGCUCUGUUGCUCGCAGCAGCCCCCAUCGCUCGCCGGAUCUGGCGGCCGGCCAGCACGCGCGGGGACUUGGUUGGGCCCGUUGCCGGCGAGCACAAGUCGCUGCCGUCCGCCGCUUCCUCAUCUUUUGUUGUGCCUUGCGCCACCUAGCGCUCCCCCUUCGCCCCCCUGCUGCUUGCCAUGUAGGCGCCAUAGACAUCGCUCCCUUGCCUCGCGCGUCACCGUCGCCUCGGUCCGACACCUCCAACUCCAAGCCACCGGUCGACGAGUGACACAAUGCCACCCCACCACAGCACCACGAGCGCUACUGGCCCAGCGGGGCCAGUGUUGCUCCCCUCCGGCCUCUCUUUUGAGGUCAACCCUGAGCCUCCUUUGUCCCGCGGCUCCACCUCCGUUCCCGUCCACCAUGGCAUCUCCGUCUCGAUUCGUCCGUCGCGAGAUCCACGAAUAG
rnacentral:rRNA from 1 species